UACAGAGGGGGCAAGCGUUGUUCGGAAUUACUGGGCGUAAAGGGCGCGUAGGCGGCCUUCUAAGUCGAACGUGAAAUCCCCGGGCUCAACCCGGGAACUGCGUCCGAUACUGGAAGGCUUGAAUCCGGGAGAGGGAUGCGGAAUUCCAGGUGUAGCGGUGAAAUGCGUAGAUAUCUGGAGGAACACCGGUGGCGAAGGCAGCCCCCUGGGCUAGCACUGACGCUCAGGCACGAAAGCGUGGGGAGCAAACAGG
rnacentral:rRNA from 1 species